AGUGAACGCUGGCGGUAGGCCUAACACAUGCAAGUCGAACGACAGCACAGUAAGAGCUUGCGCUUACGGGUGGCGAGUGGCGGACGGGUGAGGAAUACAUCGGAAUCUACUGUGUCAUGGGGGAUAACGUAGGGAAACUUACGCUACUACCGCAUACAACCUACGGGUGAAAGCAGGGGUUCUUCGGACCUUUGGCGGUGGAAAGAGCCGAUGUCGGAUUAGCUAGUUGGCGGGGUAAAGGCCCACCAAGGCGACGAUCCGUAGCUGGUCUGAGAGGAUGGUCAGCCACCCUGUAACUGAGACACGGUCCCGACCCCUACGGGAGGCCGCAGUGGGGAAUCUUGCGCAAUGGGCGCAAGCCUGAUCCAGCCAUACCGCGUGGGUGAAGAAGGCCUUCGGGUUGUAAAGCCCUUUUGUUGGGAAAGAAAAGCAGCAGGUUAAUCCCCCGCUGUUCUGACGGUACCCAAAGAAUAAGCCCCGGCUAACUUCGUG
rnacentral:rRNA from 1 species